rnacentral:lncRNA from 1 species
CUCCACAAGAUACUCGAUCAAUAUAAUAAUGACUAUUCUGGGACAUCACCCAAGGGCAAGUCAUACCCCGUGUCUUUUGGGACUCAUACCCAAGGGCAGGACCAACCCCGUGUCUUUAGGGACUAAAACCCAGGGGCAGGACCAACCCCAUACACCCACAUCGGAGUGUCUUCCUCGAGGGCUUUAGGGACUUUCACCCAAGGACCCACGGUCCCACAUAAACAAUAUAUCAAAUGAUAAGGCCUGUAGCAUCACAUAAGCACUUUGCCACCAAUAAAUUCUCUGAAUAUGAUCUGUGAUAAUUCCAUAUCCUUCUUGCAAUGCAAUCACACCAUAAACCAUU